CGGACGGGUGAGUAACGCGUGGGUAACCUGCCUCAUACAGGGGGAUAACAGUUAGAAAUGACUGCUAAUACCGCAUAAGCGCACGAGAUCGCAUGAUAAAGUGUGAAAAACUCCGGUGGUAUGAGAUGGACCCGCGUCUGAUUAGCUGGUUGGUGGGGGUAACGGCCCACCAAGGCGACGAUCAGUAGCCGACCUGAGAGGGUGACCGGCCACAUUGGGACUGAGACACGGCCCAAACUCCUACGGAAGGCAGCAG
rnacentral:rRNA from 1 species